rnacentral:rRNA from 1 species
CGGACGGGUGAGUAACGCGUGAGAAUCUGCCUUCAGGUUCGGGACAACAGUUGGAAACGACUGCUAAUACCGGAUGUGCCGAGAGGUGAAAGGCUUGCUGCCUGAAGAUGAGCUCGCGUCUGAUUAGCUAGUUGGUGGUGUAAGGGACUACCAAGGCGACGAUCAGUAGCUGGUCUGAGAGGAUGAUCAGCCACACUGGGACUGAGACACGGCCCAGACUCCUACGGGAGGCAGCAGUGGGGAAUUUUCCGCAAUGGGCGAAAGCCUGACGGAGCAAUACCGCGUGAGGGAGGAAGGCUCUUGGGUUGUAAACCUCUUUUCUUAGGGAAUAAAAAAAUGAAGGUACCUAAGGAAUAAGCAUCGGCUAACUCCGUGCCAGCAGCCGCGGUAAUACGGAGGAUGCAAGCGUUAUCCGGAAUGAUUGGGCGUAAAGCGUCCGCAGGUGGUUUGUCAAGUCUGCUGUCAAAGAAUGAGGCUUAACCUCAUCAAGGCAGUGGAAACUGAGAGACUAGAGUGCGUUCGGGGCAGAAGGAAUUCCUGGUGUAGCGGUGAAAUGCGUAGAGAUCAGGAAGAACACCGGUGGCGAAAGCGUUCUGCUAGGCCGCAACUGACACUGAGGGACGAAAGCUAGGGGAGCGAAUGGGAUUAGAUACCCCAGUAGUC